rnacentral:rRNA from 1 species
GUGGGGAAUAUUGGACAAUGGGCGCAAGCCUGAUCCAGCCAUGCCGCGUGAGUGAUGAAGGCCCUAGGGUUGUAAAGCUCUUUCACCGGAGAAGAUAAUGACGGUAUCCGGAGAAGAAGCCCCGGCUAACUUCGUGCCAGCAGCCGCGGUAAUACGAAGGGGGCUAGCGUUGUUCGGAAUUACUGGGCGUAAAGCGCACGUAGGCGGAUAUUUAAGUCAGGGGUGAAAUCCCGGAGCUCAACUCCGGAACUGCCUUUGAUACUGGGUAUCUCGAGUAUGGAAGAGGUGAGUGGAAUUCCGAGUGUAGAGGUGAAAUUCGUAGAUAUUCGGUGGAACACCAGUGGCGAAGGCGGCUAACUGGACUGAUACUGACGCUGAGGUGCGAAAGUGUGGGGAGCAAACAGGAUUAGAAACCCCGGUAGUCC